UGUCAAUUGAUGAAGGUGAAGACAUUAUCACAACUAUCAGCUUCAACAGAAUGUAUAUGCCUGAUUGUUCUUCACACUUAUCUUGUCUGUUAUCCCUUUG